ACAACAACCGGACCGUCGGUCUACCGAGCAAACAUCACCCGCUCGGUGAAGAUCUUCCCUUCAUAUA
rnacentral:pre_miRNA from 1 species